GCCGAAGUGGCGGAAUUGGUAGACGCGCUAGGUUCAGGACCUAGUAUCCGCAAGGAUGUGGGUGUUCGAGUCACCUCUUCGGCA
rnacentral:tRNA from 1 species